GGUCCUUGUUGAAGUAUAACGCGAUAAGAAGAGGGGAGUAUAAAUAAUUCUGGUUCGGUGACGUUCCGUCUAGUUUAACGCACGACUUGGACGACGCUUAAGAGCUGGCCGUGCGUUACGGCCGCAACCGAAUUUAGUCUGACAGAAGUAUUAACGUAUAAUUAAUUGGCAGGUCCACACUAUUUGUAUCCAGCUUUCCUUGUAACCGUACGUUAAUAUAAAUUGUCGGCAAUCCUGGUUCAUCGCAAAUCACGUCACAAUGAACAAAGUCUUGGUAAUUCUAGUCACGAUCGGAUGCACAAUGACCAGUUGCAGACCCCAGAGUCCUGAACAGGUGGCGUGGAAUGCACACAUGAAACAAGUAUCGAACUUUUGGUGUAAAGUUCCACAACUCUAUUCAAUACCUGUCACAGAUUUGUUACAAGGAAACAAAAGUACCGAGGAACGGAUCACCCCAUUUACAACAGUGUUAUCUCGAUGCAAAUCAACCUCAGGCUGUUGUAAGGAAACACAAAUUUGUGCGCCAAAGACAUACGAAAAUGUCACACUUGUAUUUAAAUUUGAGCACACGAUUGAAAAAGAUAUGCCGGACCGUCAUGAACGCAUUAUUG